UGAUGAGUAAAUACAUUCAUAAUUCUUAUUGGUCAAUUAGUGGGCAAAUGAGACGUUCUUGAACAUAGAAAUUUCGUGGAGGGGCUGACUAUUGGUGCCUUUACCCUACGAUAAGUACGAGAGAAACGUCUAACACGUCUGGAGCGUUUGCCGAAUGUUAUAAAUAGCUCAGUUUUAAGCCAGGACCGCUAUUAUAUUUUUGACCGUCGGAUUGUCACUUUCUCUGGCUUAUUCGUAGACGUAAAAACAAAGAGCCAGUUCAGUGUCAGGUUGCAUGGUCAACCUACCGAGUACACCUAACCAAACGGUGACAAGCAGGUUUACUCGGGAAUCCAGUAGAGAGUUAGGUCCAGGUCGCGAGAGGGGCCUGGCGUCAGCCUUUUUACCAACACAGGUGACGAUUAUACCUCUUACGUUCUCUUCAAGGUCUGACAGAGGGAUAUGAGGGUCUCACGUGUGGACCAUUAGGAGUAAUCCUUACUCAUUGAAAUCUGUUGGUAAUUGAAGAAGCGUUGUCUUGUUAAAUAUAUUUAUUUAUACACAUUAUAUACAUGAUUAGGGCGCCUUAUUCGUCUGUACCCAGGCUUCGGCUAACACAGACGGGGGGAGGCAAUCACACAGACACUAGGGUUUGCUAUACCUCGGUUUUGUCGGCCGAACGUUUAGAGCUUAAAUUAGGGUCCCUCACACACACACACUCCUCCCUGUAAAAAUAGAGGUUCGCCUCUAGUUUUACACACAUUAGAAUAGGUGAAUUUGGGGUAGAGUUAGGGUAGAGUCAUUAUUUGGGUGUUAGGUUUAUUUAUUUUCUUUCACAUUUAGUUUGAUUGUAUACAAAACUAAAAUCAUUAGAGUUUUAACUGUUUUUAAUUAAAAAAUAAAUUAAAAUCUAUCUUCAGUAGCAUAUGGAUGGGUUACUGAGGCUCGUACAUUAAAUAUGAUUGAAGGUUUAUAUAUUUUUACAUUGGGUGAGAUAGGGGAACAAAGUUAUUUGAGGACAUACUAAAUAAUUUUGUUAUAGGGAGCUAGUGACAGGCGGAGCAGUUCACUAGUGACAAUUGAGCUUUUCUAUAACUGGGGAAUGAAAGGGUAAAUAAAGUCAUAUUUAAAAGACGAUUGUUUUCAGUAUUCCAUACAUUAAUAGUACAUUUAGAUGAGUUUCUUGGCGUUUCUUCUCGUCUGAAAUUAGGUUACGAAACGUUGGUAGAGUAAUAUUACAUAGUGCUUAGGAAUACCUAUUAAAAAUAAAAUAAAAUAAAAUAAAAUGGGUAUUAAUUAGCUUAGAGACCCGUCUUCAUCCGGGCGUGACAGUAGAUAAAGUAUGUUUGUACUUACUAUUCUUUGCAAUAUAUUUACUUAUGGUUACAAUGGUUACAUAUACAUAUUUUCCUUUAGCUAGCUAGGUUAGCGAAGAGAUAUAUUAAAAGGAAAAUAUAAGUUUUAAAUUACAAACAAAAAGGGCUUACUACUGUUCACGGUAACUGGUCACGGUAGGGCCCGGUAGGAGAUAAAUUCUAAAAAAUAU